GAAACAUGAAAGUCAAGAGUAAGCUUCUAACUUAAUUCUUAAGCGAUGCAAUUUCGUUUAUGUUUCU
rnacentral:tRNA from 1 species